rnacentral:rRNA from 1 species
GAUGAACGCUGGCGGCGUGCUUAACACAUGCAAGUCGAACGGAAAGACCAUGCUUUUGUUGGGUGGUCGUGAGGGGCACGCGUGUGUAACACGUGUGUAUCCCGCCCCUGUCAUUGUGGUAUCUCUAGGAAACUGCGGCUCAUACCGGAUAUGAGCUCCUGCUGCAUAGUGGGGGUUGGUAAAUUUCGGCUGUUCGGGAUCGUCUGGCUGCUUCUCCGCUUGAUUGGGGGGUAGUGGCUUACCAAGGCUAUGACGGGUAGCCGGCCUGGGAGGCUGACCGGCCACAUGGGGACUGAGAGACGGCCCAGACGCCUAUGGGAGGCAGCAGGGGGGAAUAUUGCACAAUGGGCCGAAGCCUGAUGCAGCAACGCCGCGAGCGUGAUGACGGCUUACGGGGGAUAAACCGCUUUCGCCUUAGACGAAGCGUGAGUGACGGUAAUGGGUAAAGAAGCACCGGCUAACUACGUG